AGUGAACGCUGGCGGUGGGUCUAACACAUGCAAGUCGAACGGCAGCACAGUAAGAGCUUGCUCUUACGGGUGGCGAGUGGCGGACGGGUGAGGAAUACAUCGGAAUCUACUUUUUCGUGGGGGAUAACGUAGGGAAACUUACGCUAAUACCGCAUACGACCUACGGGUGAAAGCAGGGGAUCUUCGGACCUUGCGCGAUUGAAUGAGCCGAUGUCGGAUUAGCUAGUUGGCGGGGUAAAGGCCCACCAAGGCGACGAUCCGUAGCUGGUCUGAGAGGAUGAUCAGCCACACUGGAACUGAGACACGGUCCAGACUCCUACGGGAGGCAGCAGUGGGGAAUAUUGGACAAUGGGCGCAAGCCUGAUCCAGCCAUACCGCGUGGGUGAAGAAGGCCUUCGGGUUGUAAAGCCCUUUUGUUGGGAAAGAAAAGCAGCAGGUUAAUACCCCGCUGUUCUGACGGUACCCAAAGAAUAAGCACCGGCUAACUUCGUG
rnacentral:rRNA from 1 species